UUGGUAAUUGUGCAGCCGCCGCGGUAAUACGGAGGAUCCGAGCGUUAUCCGGAUUUAUUGGGUUUAAAGGGAGCGUAGGCGGGUUGUUAAGUCAGUUGUGAAAGUUUGCGGCUCAACCGUAAAAUUGCAGUUGAUACUGGCGACCUUGAGUGCAACAGAGGUAGGCGGAAUUCGUGGUGUAGCGGUGAAAUGCUUAGAUAUCACGAAGAACUCCGAUUGCGAAGGCAGCUUACUGGAUUGUAACUGACGCUGAUGCUCGAAAGUGUGGGUAUCAAACAGG
rnacentral:rRNA from 1 species